rnacentral:lncRNA from 1 species
AAAAAAAAGGGAGGCCUCAGACCUGGGCCAUUCAGAAAUUAAAAACAAAAAUGAAGUAUUAAGGCGGAAGAUUUAAAAAAAUUUUUGCAGUACAUAAUUUACACAGAAGCAAUGCUGUCACCUUCCCCGGGGUGGACUCAGGGCAUGGACGCGACCAUCCUCCUCUUAGGAGUGGGGGUGGCUUUUGGGAGGGUGAGGGACUUCCUGUAACCACUUAUUUCAUGGAUACUUGGAAUGACUAUUAAAAAAAGACAAAACCAAAAAAAAAAAAAAACAAAACAAUGUACAAAGUCCUCAGCCACAUUUGUAGAACUUUGGGGGAUGUUUGCUCCAACCAACUGCUGUCGCCUUCACCGUUCCAGUUUUUAAAUCCUGAGUCAAAAGCGCCAAAACAAAACAAAAAAA